GACGAACGCUGGCGGCGUGCCUAAUACAUGCAAGUCGAGCGAAGUUUUUCUGGUGCCUGCACCGGAAAAACUUAGCGGCGAACGGGUGAGUAACACGUAAAGAACCUGCCUCAUAGACUGGGACAACUAUUGGAAACGAUAGCUAAUACCGGAUAACAGCAUUAACUGGAUGGUUGAUGUUUAAAAGUUGGUUUUGCUAACACUAUGAGAUGGCUUUGCGGUGCAUUAGCUAGUUGGUGGGGUAAAGGCCUACCAAGGCGACGAUGCAUAGCCGACCUGAGAGGGUGAUCGGCCACACUGGGACUGAGACACGGCCCAGACUCCUACGGGAGGCAGCAGUAGGGAAUCUUCCGCAAUGGGCGAAAGCCUGACGGAGCAACGCCGCGUGAGUGAAGAAGGAUUUCGGUUCGUAAAGCUCUGUUGUUAGGGAAGAAUGAUUGUGUAGUAACUAUACACAGUAGAGACGGUACCUAACCAGAAAGCCACGGCUAACUACGUG
rnacentral:rRNA from 1 species